UACGUAGGGUGCGAGCGUUGUCCGGAAUUAUUGGGCGUAAAGAGCGUGUAGGCGGUUUGGUAGGUCCGUUGUGAAAACUCGAGCUCAACCUCGAGACGCCGAUGGAAACCGCAUGGCUAGAGUCCGGAAGAGGAGAGUGGAAUUCCUGGUGUAGCGGUGAAAUGCGCAGAUAUCAGGAAGAACACCCGUGGCUAAGGCGGCUCUCUAGUACGGUACUGACGCUGAGACGCGAAAGCGUGGGGAGCGAACAGG
rnacentral:rRNA from 1 species